rnacentral:rRNA from 1 species
AUACGUAGGGGGCGAGCGUUGUCCGGAAUGAUUGGGCGUAAAGGGCGCGUAGGCGGCCCGGUAAGUCUGGAGUGAAAGUCCUGUUUUUAAGAUGGGAAUUGCUUUGGAUACUGUCGGGCUUGAGUGCAGGAGAGGUAAGUGGAAUUCCCAGUGUAGCGGUGAAAUGCGUAGAGAUUGGGAGGAACACCAGUGGCGAAGGCGACUUACUGGACUGUAACUGACGCUGAGGCGCGAAAGUGUGGGGAGCAAACAGGAUUAGAUACCCUGGUAGUCCACACUGUAAACGAUGAAUGCUAGGUGUAGGGGGUAUCGACCCCUUCUGUGCCGCAGUCAACACAAUAAGCAUUCCGCCUGGGGAGUACGGCCGUAAGGUUGAAACUCAAAGGAAUUGACGGG